rnacentral:lncRNA from 10 species
UGAGUUUGCCUGGAAGCUGCCGGGCUGUAGUUUGCGUUGAUACCACCGAUCUUCCCAGUCACUCUAAGAGACGGGUCAUAUCCCCGUUUUACAAAUGAGGAAAGUAACUCAGCGAGGGGAGACGCCGUGUCCAGGGACACACAAGAACAGACUCCGGACCCCCAGAGAGACUAUGAACUGACCACUGCAGCCCAAGGAGCACCUGCAGGGUUUAGGGGUCCAGGGCUGAGGCCUAGGACCAUCACCAUGGCAGUCACUGUCAUCUCCAUGACUACAAUCAUCACCUCCAUGACCAACCACCAUCACCUCCAUCAUCACCACUGUCAUGAGGGAAAUUGUGUCCUCCCAAAAAAUAGGUUCGGCCAGGCAUCAUGGCUCAUGCCUAUAAUCCCAGCACUUUGGGAGGUUGAGGUGGGUGGCUCACCUGAGGUCAGGAGUUCCAGACCAGGCUGGCCAAAAUGGUGAAACCCCGUCUCUACUGAAAAUACAAAAAAUUAGCCGGGCGUGGUGACGGGCGCCUGUAAUCCCAGCUACUUGAGAGGCUGAGGCAUGAGAAUUGCUUGUAUCCGGGAGGCGGCGGUUGCAGUGAGCCGAGAUCACGUCAUUGCACUCCAGCCUGGGCAACAAGAGCAAAACUCCGUCUCAAAAAAAAUAAAUAAAUAAAAGACAAAAAUGUUAGGUUCAAGUCCUAAGCC